AGAGUUUGAUCAUGGCUCAGAACGAACGCUGGCGGCACGCCUAACACAUGCAAGUCGAGCGGGAACUUCGGUUCUAGCGGCGGACGGGUUAGUAACGCGUGGGAACGUACCUUUUGCUUCGGAAUAGCCUCGGGAAACUGGGAGUAAUACCGGAUGUGCCCUUUGGGGGAAAGAUUUAUCGGCAAGAGAUCGGCCCGCGUCUGAUUAGAUAGUUGGUGGGGUAAUGGCCUACCAAGUCUGCGAUCAGUAGCUGGUUUGAGAGGAUGAUCAGCAACACUGGGACUGAGACACGGCCCAGACUCCUACGGGAGGCAGCAGUGGGGAAUCUUAGACAAUGGGCGCAAGCCUGAUCUAUCGAUGCCGCGUGAGUGACGAAGGCCUUAGGGUCGUAAAGCUCUUUC
rnacentral:rRNA from 1 species